AAACACCUCGAGCGGCGGUGGUCAAACACCAACGCUCGGUCUUGGGAUUGAGGGACCGCUGUCUGGCUCCUCUGCCCGCAAUCCAGUGGCGGACGUCCUGUGGGCCGAGAGCGUGAUGAUCAUCUCAAACGCUACUGGCAUCCGGGAAGGUCCCGCACCAAACCCCCCUCAGAUUACAAUCUGCA
rnacentral:misc_RNA from 1 species